GAGGGUAUAGCUCGAUGGUAGGGUGCAUGCUUAGCAUGCAUGAGGUCCUGGUGCAAUCCCCAGUACCUCUG
rnacentral:tRNA from 1 species